CUGCGAUGGCUUGGAGUAACAUGCAACAACAAAGAAGAGAGAAAAUACUCAUUAGAAUCCCAUUCAGCCUCGAUCACCAUGGCCUCAAUGCAAUGCAUCAAACCAGACGAGAAGGCAUGCGACCAAGAACAAGAAAUGGUCCAUGUCCAAACAGAGCAAAGCCUUUCCCAUGAGAAGGUCGAUUAUGUAACUCAAUGCAAUUGCCAAACCAAUGGCCCCGGCAGCCAAGCUCAUGUCGACCAGAAAAAGAACCAUCAAAAGAACGAGAAGAAAAUGAAGGACAAGAAAGAGAAGAAGGAGAAGAAGAAGCUGGAGAAGAAGGGAAAGAAGGAAAAUGACAAGAAGAAAGAAAAGAGCGGGGACAAGAAGAAGUAGAAGAAGCAUGACAGCAGCAACAUUAUAGAAGGUGAUUAGAGAUGCUGCGAAAUGAAGGAGGAGCGUUCCGAAAUAAACAUGGAUAACAUUAAUUCCUGUCAGCACAAUAAUAAACAGAUACAUAAAGCUAGGAAAAAAAAGAAGAAAGAAAGGAUGAUAUAAAAUAAGACCAGCAUACUGCAGUACUUGCAUGACUUACUGUUGUUCGUGUUCUCAAUUUUUACUACUCUUUCAUGCUGUUAAGAUACAUCGAGUUGUUGCAGAAAAAGAUACUUGGCUAUUGAAAAUGCUUGUGAAAAA